rnacentral:rRNA from 1 species
GACGAACGCUGGCGGCGUGCUUAACACAUGCAAGUCGAGCGAUGAAGUUCCUUCGGGAAUGGAUUAGCGGCGGACGGGUGAGUAACACGUGGGUAACCUGCCUCAUAGAGGGGAAUAGCCUUUCGAAAGGAAGAUUAAUACCGCAUAAGAUUGUAGCUUCGCGUGAAGUAGCAAUUAAAGGAGUAAUCCGCUAUGAGAUGGACCCGCGUCGCAUUAGCUAGUUAGUGAGGUAACGGCUCACCAAGGCGACGAUGCGUAGCCGACCUGAGAGGGUGAUCGGCCACAGUGGGACUGAGACACGGCCCAGACUCCUACGGGAGGCAGCAGUGGGGAAUAUUGCACAAUGGGGGAAACCCUGAUGCAGCAACGCCGCGUGAGUGAUGACGGUCUUCGGAUUGUAAAGCUCUGUCUUCAGGGACGAUAAUGACGGUACCUGAGGAGGAAGCCACGGCUAACUACGUGCCAGCCGCCGCUGUAA